GACGGGGGGAUGCAAGUGUUAUCCGGAAUCACUGGGCGUAAAGCGUCUGCAGGUGGUUUCCUAAGUCCACUGUUAAACCUUGAGGCUCAACCUCAAAUCUGCAUUGGAAACUAGGAGACUUGAGUAUAGUAGGGGUAGAGGGAAUUUCCAGUGGAGCGGUGAAAUGCGUAGAUAUUGGAAAGAACACCGAUGGCGAAGGCACUCUACUGGGCUAUUACUGACACUCAGAGACGAAAGCUAGGGGAGCAAAAUGGG
rnacentral:rRNA from 1 species